CUUUCCCUUUGCAAUUGCCUUGGGUCCUGCCGCACAGAGCGGCCUGUCUUUAUCAGAGGUCCCUCUGCCCCGGGGAGGGCCCCAGAGAAAACCAGAAAGAGAGUGAGAGACUGAGGAAGAUAAAGCAUCCGAGAGCCUCCCACACCAGCGCCUGAGCAGGAAGGGGGAGGGGCUAUGACUACGAGGCCCUGGGAGGUCACUUUAAGGAGGGCUGUCCUAAAACCAGGAGCCUCGAGCAGAAAGUGAAACCCUGAUGCUCCAGACAAAGAUCUUAGUCAGGACUAGCCGGCCAAUGAUGAAUCCUCAGUUCAGAAACAUGGUGGAUGGAAUGGAUCCACACAAAUUCUCCUACAACUUUAAAAAUAGACCCAUCCUUUCUCGUCGGAAUACUGUGUGGCUGUGCUACGAAGUGAAAACAAAGGGUCCCUCAAGGCCCCCUUUGGACGCAAAGAUCUUUCGAGGCCAGGUACCACCCAGACUCCAAUCACUUUGCAGGCAGGAGCUAAGCCAGCUGGGAAAGCAAACCACGCACUGAUAAGUGAAGUGCCCGGCGGCGGGCUAUCCAGUGUGUCCUUCUCUCCCACACUUUCCGAGUCCGUGGCCCUGACCUUCCUGCUGGACCGUCCUGGGAUCGGAUCGUGGAGGGGGUUUGCCUCUGCACAAAAGGCCCUGUUUUUCCAUUUUUCUUUUCUUUUUUCUUUUUUUUUUUUUUGAGAUGGAGUUUUGCUCUUGUUCAGGCUGGAGUGCAAUGACGUGAUCUCGGCUCACUGCAACCUCUGCCUCCUGUGUUCAAGCGAUUCUGUGGCCUCAGACUCCUGAGUAGCUGCCAUUACAGGUGCCCACCACCACACCCAGCUAAUUUUUUUUGUAUUUUUAGUACAGAUGGGGUUUUACCAUAUUCACCAGGCUGGUCUCUAACUUCUGACCUCAGAUGAUCCACCUGACUCGGCCUCCCAAAGUGUUGGGAUUACAGGUGUGAGCCACUGUACCCCGCCUAAUUUUAAUAUUUUAUUUAAUCCAGUGUAGCUAACAUAUUAUUUCAACAUUAAUUAACAUAAAAUUCUUGACAAGAUAA
rnacentral:sRNA from 1 species